UGACAAUAAGAAUUAAACAGAUUUGAUGAAAUUUGAUAUGAAAGUUCGUACAUUUUUUUACAAACUUACAACUCUAUACGUAAAUAUAUACGAGUUAAAUAUAGAAUGGUAUUAUUAGGUAGUAUAAUAUCUGUAAAUAUCCAUAGAUAAUGUGCAUAGAUAUAUGCAUACAUAUACAUACAUAUCUAAUAAGCAUUAGAAUUGCAUUAUUUGUCAGUUCGGAUUAUCAAGAUUAAAUGUAUACGACAUGUCACUAGUGCAUAUUGUAUCGAUGCGCGUCAUGUAAUAUAAUAUACAUACAUAUAAAUAUUCGUGUGUACGCGCGCGCGUAUGUGUAUGUGUGCGUGUCAUAUAACUAUAAAUAGAAAAGUGUAAAUUCUAUUUGUUAAAUAUUAUGCAACAAAAAAGAAUAACAUCACGCUGAGUUUGUCGAUUCUGCUUUAGCGAGUCAUCGUCGAGUUACGAAGAGACAACGCCCAUGACAUUAUGUACGAUUAAGGACCAUGUAAUCCAGUACUGUAUCUAGAAUGAUGCAACAGGUGUAUGCGCUUAUCCAGGAGGCAUGGUAUAGUAAAGGGUAGUGGGUAUCGUAUAGCUUUGGGUAGCCUUCGAACGAUAUAUUUUCAAAGCAAAUUCAUUGUUCGACUUCGUGUAACGAUAAUUAACUUUCAAAUUGGAAAUCAUGUUAAAUGUUCUCGUCGAGGUUAUAGGAUUUCGUAAAACGUUUCAUCGAAAUGAACUAUGAUUCUUCGUUUUCUUUCUUCUUAUUUUUCUGUUUUUAUUAUUUUGUUUUCUCUUUAUCACGACGUUGAUAUGUCUCUGAUGUUACGAUGUUCAUUUAAAUAUUAUUACUUUAUUUUUCAAUUAUUCUUUUCUUCGAGAAUAAUAUACGUAAGUUAAAAAACAUAAAAGAAUAAUUACUGAUGCGUUCAGAUUGAAGCUCAAUGUUUUAAGUCUUUUAAUUCGAUUCGAAUUUGUGCUAGAAGAUGUACGAACUAAUCGGAAGAGAAAAGGCGAGAAAAGACGAUGGUUUAUCAUUAAAAAAGAAAUUUCAAUAAAUGGCGCGGAAUAUAGAAAGUAUUUACGAGAAAAAGGAAAAACGAGCGACGUCGUUUUAAUCGUAUAGUAUGUGUUGUAAUACAUGUGAAAUGAAUUCAUAUU